rnacentral:piRNA from 1 species
UCGGGACAAUGCUUUUGGUUACUGCCUGA